rnacentral:rRNA from 1 species
UACGGGGGGGGCAAGCGUUGUUCGGAAUUACUGGGCGUAAAGGGCUCGUAGGUGGCCAACUAAGUCAGACGUGAAAUCCCUCGGCUUAACCGGGGAACUGCAUCUGAUACUGGAUGGCUUGAGUUCGGGAGAGGGAUGCGGAAUUCCAGGUGUAGCGGUGAAAUGCGUAGAUAUCUGGAGGAACACCGGUGGCGAAGGCGGCAUCCUGGACCGACACUGACGCUGAGGCGCGAAAGCUAGGGGAGCAAACGGG